rnacentral:rRNA from 1 species
UAGGCAGGUACAGAGGGAUGCUACCGGGCGACCGGAUGCGGAUCUCGAAAGCCUGUCCCAGUUCGGACUGGAGUCUGCAACCCGACUCCACGAAGUUGGAUUCGCUAGUAAUCGCGCAUCAGCCAUGGCGCGGUGAAUACGUUCCCGGGCCUUGUACACACCGCCCAUCAAGCCAUGGGAGCCGGGGGCGCCUGAAGUCCGGGACCGCGAGGACCGGCCUAGGGCGAAACUGGUAACUGGGGCUAAGUCGUAACAAGGUAAC